rnacentral:snRNA from 1 species
AUCGCUUCUCGGCCUUUUGGCUAAGAUCAAGUCUAGUAUCUGUUCUUAAGUUAUACAAAAUUACAUAUAAGAGGAAGUGAGGGGAAAGGGAAAAAAAU